rnacentral:rRNA from 1 species
UACGGGGGGGGCAAGCGUUGUUCGGAAUUACUGGGCGUAAAGGGCUUGUAGGUGGCCAACUAAGUCCGACGUGAAAUCCCUAGGCUUAACCUAGGAACUGCGUCGGAUACUGGAUGGCUUGAAUCCGGGAGAGGGAUGCGGAAUUCCAGGUGUAGUGGUGAAAUGCGUAGAUAUCUGGAGGAACACCGGUGGCGAAGGCGGCAUCCUGGACCGGUAUUGACACUGAAAAGCGAAAGCCAGGGGAGCAAACGGG